rnacentral:lncRNA from 1 species
UGGUAUCAGAGCCCAUGGUCGCGAUUUUGUGGCCUUGUGGCUUCUGUGAUUAGCUUAGCUUCCGCGUUUUGAUUCCAGUUUUUCAGUUUUCAGUUUCCCCAACUUCAAUUACCCUAGCUUUGCGUUUUUCCCAAACCCGUUCAUCAACGAUCCCAAACUCAAAAUCUUCGUCUUUGGCGCUAUAAUCUUCUCUUCCGGCGUGAGAUUGUCGAUACCCAGCCUUCUCUAAGACCUCUGGGCUUCGAUGUUCGUUCUCCGCGUCGUCACCUGCGCGGCUCGCCUCGUAUGGCUCUGUUCUUUGUUUGCGGGUUUUCUCCUUCAGAUCCUCGAGUAUGACGUCAGGGGAGGACUGUAUCAGUGUGAUGCAGCGAAUCUGUUCUCUGAGACUUGGUAAUCUUCGAGCCCUUUAUUUUGUCACUAUGUCUUUGCGCUGCAAUUCUUGUUGCUGAGAGUAUCUAGUAGACUAGUUGUUCAAUCUAUUUGCUCUGAAGGUGAAUGGGAGACGAAGAUGUGUAUAUUUUGAUAAAUCUGGUUGGGAAGAUGAGUAUUUUUAAGGUUGAAUAUUCCUGGGCUUAUUGUUCUGAUGGUGAUUAGAGAUGGUUAGGUCUUAUGACUGGAUUUUGUGUGCUUCUUUCUCUGCUGUGCGCUUCUAUGUGCUAAGUGGUUGGUGACAUUAAGUUGAUAGCUGCUGUUGUUUAGUGUUCUACCACAAUAUGUUUGAGAUACUGACCCUGCAACAAAACGUAUGUUUGGAAGUAGUAGUAAUGUAUGUGGAAUUGUAGUAUGGAGGUAGUAGCCUCUGUAUGAUCGUAGAGUUGUGGUAAUCACAACUAGCGGUAGUAGCCUCUGUAUGAUCGUAGAGUUGUGGUAAUCACAACUAGAGGUAGUAGCCUCUGUAGAACAAAGUGGUGCAGAAAAUAUUGUAGUGAGUCAAGGUUUCAAUUGAGAUGUGGAGGGAAACAUUAUUUUUUGCAGCAGCUUAUAUGUUUGGGGUAUGAACGCAUGGGAUUUGAUUACAGCAAGUUAAUAUUGGUAGAGAUAUGCAGUAUGUAGCAGUGUUCAGUCCUUGCAGUUAGUUUUUUCAGAUUCUUCAUUGGAUUGUUUGUUGCCUUGCUUCCAUGGAUUUUGUCUUCUCAGCUCUGUGUUGCCUCAAUGCUCUGCUGCAACCUACAAUCUUGUCAACUGACUGUGGAUGAUGUUCUCAUACUGCUAAGUGGCUGUUGGGUUUUGAUUUUUGGGAUGAUAAUCUUGUAAAUUGUUCUACAUCAUGUAUUGUGCUUCUUGGUCCAACCAAGCAUAUGGUUGCGGGGGGAUAGUUGAGUCAUUUACUAUUAUCCCUACCUAUAUAAAGCUAUGAGUUGUGUACACUGUUCAUCAAUUGAGAAAUACAAGAUGUAGAC